UGGGGAAUAUUGGACAAUGGGCGCAAGCCUGAUCCAGCCAUGCCGCGUGAGUGAUGAAGGCCCUAGGGUUGUAAAGCUCUUUCACCGGUGAAGAUAAUGACGGUAACCGGAGAAGAAGCCCCGGCUAACUUCGUGCCAGCAGCCGCGGUAAUACGAAGGGGGCUAGCGUUGUUCGGAUUUACUGGGCGUAAAGCGCACGUAGGCGGACUUUUAAGUCAGGGGUGAAAUCCCGGGGCUCAACCCCGGAACUGCCUUUGAUACUGGAAGUCUUGAGUAUGGUAGAGGUGAGUGGAAUUCCUAGUGUAGAGGUGAAAUUCGUAGAUAUUCGGAGGAACACCAGUGGCGAAGGCGGCUCACUGGACCAUUACUGACGCUGAGGUGCGAAAGCGUGGGGAGCAAACAGG
rnacentral:rRNA from 1 species